rnacentral:rRNA from 1 species
GUGCCAGCCGCCGCGGUAAUACGUAGGGGGCAAGCGUUGUCCGGAAUUAUUGGGCGUAAAGAGCGCGUAGGCGGUCCGAUAAGUCGGCUGUGAAAGUCCAGGGCUCAACCCUGGAAAGCCGGCCGAUACUGUCGGACUAGAGUCCGGAAGAGGCAAGUGGAAUUCCCGGUGUAGCGGUGAAAUGCGCAGAUAUCGGGAGGAACACCAAUUGCGAAGGCAGCUUGCUGGGACGGUACUGACGCUGAGGCGCGAAAGCGUGGGGAGCAAACAGGAUUAGAAACCCUAGUAGUCC